ACUUAUAUAAAUAGAAAAUAUAUUAAUAAACUUUAAUUAGACUUUGUCUUCCGUUUCACUAAUCACCCAUUAGACGCCGAUGCAUGAGCUGGGCCGGACCUGCAGUCUUCCCGUGAGCGCAAGCAUCAGAAACGCAAAUAACAGCAGCGAAGCUGGCGAUCGGAUCACCAUAGUGAAUGAGGAGGCUAUCGGUCUGUCUCUCUCUCUCUCCCAGUUAGGCACAGCCAAAGGCAAGCUUGUGGUGGUCUGUCAUCAACAAAGCCAUGCGACAUGGUUAUAUAGGAAAAAGUGGGUGAUGAAGCCGAUGACGUAUGUGGAUGCGCGAAUUAAUGCUUUCUAGAGACUGGCAUGUCACAUUGUCUCAGCGUGUUAUUUUGUAUCUGUUUUGAUUUAAAUUCAUCCAAAAAUAAUAAAAAAAAAGAGACGGAUAUGCUGGAAGAGUUGAGAAGACUGGAUUUGGAUAAGGGAUACGUGUUCGGCCAAUCAAUAAGUGACACGACCUGGAUCAUGACUCGCUCACUUCACGUACGGAUGACAGUACCUCGUCCUGUGUCAUCGGUUCAAUAAUAAACAUAAUAAUUUGCGUAGCACUCACAAAGAAAAACCAAAACGACUAAAACGUGGCGUUCCAAAUGGACGGCCAUGAAAUUUGCAAUGCCUUGUUAAGACAUUAACCUUCGUUCAAAUGAUAAUAAUUUACACAUCAGUGACUAAAAGAAGACGCACGCGACGCUCCAAAUGGACGGCCGUGAAAUUGGAUGGACAUUUUUGGACACACCUCACGGAUGUUUUAUCCACGAAAAAGCCAAAAGAAGUGUGGCAGCAGUAAUUGAAGUGCUACGGGGUUUCUCCGACCGCGAAUGAUGGGUCAUUUGUCCGGCAAUGACGUGUUCGACCCUCCGCAUAAAAUCUAAAAGAGAGAGAGAGAGACAAAAGAAGUGUGGCAGCAAGAAUUGAAGUGCUACGGGGUUUCUCCGACCGCGAAUGAUGGGUCAUUUGUCCGGCAAUGACGUGUUCGACCCUCCGCAUAAAAUCUAAAAGAGAGAGAGAGAGAGAGAAAAAGAAGAAAAGAUUUUUAAAAAAUGAUAAGUAUGUUCGUGAAGCAAAUGCUGAGUCACUUCCUAUUUGUUCCCACCUUCUACCUACAUGUUCAUCGAUGGUGUAUAAAAAUUAUCUCUAAAUCGGCUCAGUUAUAUUAUUUUUAUAUGAUGUUGUAAUAUUUUUAAUAAUACCAGAAAAUACUAUAAUAUAAUGAUUUUUACUGCAUUACAGUAUUUUUUUAUUUUCAGUAAUACCAUUUAUCCAUGUUACAUGGGUUUUUUUUUGUGUAAUUACUAUAUUUGAAUUUUACCAUCUUAAAAUUUUCAAUACUAGAUUUUUUUGAAAAGAUAAGUGACAAAAACUGAAUUCGAAUGUGAAAGUUUUUAUAACUAAACUGACUUAACACUUUUAAAUACUAGACAUAUUGAUCAUCAUAGAUUGGUAUUUACUAGUUUGAUAAUAAAUUGAUGCAUGAUCAAAUUUUUUUUCAUUUCACAUUCGAUACCUAUUCGGACUUAUUACACAAUAUAAUUGAUGUAUCAAAUGUACCCUAGCUUACUAUUAUAUAUCAUUCUUUAUAUUGAUAGUUUUUGUCAAUUAUUUUCUCUUUGUUCUCCUCAUAUAUUCUCUCUAUCCUCAUGCGUUUUCUCUCAUCCUUUCUCUAUCGAUAUCAUUGUUGUUGUUGUCUCCUCUAUAUCAUCGCCAUCAUCUUCUACUUUUUUUUUUUUUUUUUCUGUUUUUUCUCAUCCUCAAAUCUUCUUUUUCUCCUUAUGCUUUGCAUUUUUUUUAUCUUGUAUUUGGUCCGAACAAUGCUGACCCAUAUUGAGCAUCAAUGUAUAAAUUUGUAUCGAAAUAAUAUGGAUUAGGCCAACCGUUGUACAUAAAGAUAUAUCGAACGUGAAAAAUUUAUGGGGACGAUAGCCACCCUUUUAUUUUUUCUUUUUUGUUAAAUUUUAUGCGGAGGGUCGAACCGAACACAUGGAUAAAUGACCCAUAAUUCACGUGAAAAAGAAAAAAAUAUUUUUUUCUUUUUGUUAAAUUUUAUGCGGAGGGUCGAACACGUCGUUGCUGGACAAAUGACCCAUCAUUCUUGGUCGGAGAAACCCCGUACCACUUCGAUUAUUGCUGCCACACUUCUUUUGGCUUUUUGUGGAUAAAGCACCCGUGAGCUGUGUCCAAAAUGGUCCAUCCAAUUUCACGGCCGUCCAUUUGGAACGUCACGUGCGUCUUCGUUUAGUCACUGAUGUGUAAAUUAUUAUCAUUUGAACGAAGGUUAAUGUCUUAACAAGGCAUUGCAAAUUUCAUGGCCGUCCAUUUGGAACGCCACGUUUUAGUCGUUUUGGUUUUUCUUUGUGAGUGCUACGCGAAUUAUUAUGUUUAUUAUUGAACCGAUGACACAGGACGAGGUACUGUCAUCCGUACGUGAAGUGAGCGAGUCAUGAUCCAGGUCGUGUCACUUAUUGAUUGGCCGAACACGUAUCCCUUAUCCAAAUCCAGUCUUCUCAACUCUUCCAGCAUAUCCGUCUCUUUUUUUUAUUAUUUUUGGAUGAAUUUAAAUCAAAACAGAUACAAAAUAACACGCUGAGACAAUGUGACAGGCCAGUCUCUGGAAAGCAUUAAUUCGCGCAUCCACAGACGUCGUCAGCUUCAUCACCCACUUUUUCCUAUAUAACCAUGUCGCAUGGCUUUGUUGAUGACAGACCACCACAAGCUUGCCUUUGGCUGUGCCUAACUGGGAGAGAGAGAGAGACAGACCGAUAGCCUCCUCAUUCACUAUGGCGAUCCGAUCGCCAGCUUCGCUGCUGUUAUUUGCGUUUCUGAUGCUUGCGCUCACAGGAAGACUGCAGGCCCGGCGCAACUCAUGCAUUGGCGUCUACUGGGGACAAAAGACAGACGAGGGAAGCUUAGCAGAUGCUUGUGCCACAGGCAACUACGAAUACGUGAACAUCGCCACCCUUUUCAAGUUUGGCAUGGGCCAAACUCCAGAGAUCAACCUCGCUAGCCACUGUGACCCUCAGAACAACGGCUGCGCGCGCUUAAGCAGCGAAAUCCAGUCCUGCCAGGAGCGUGGAGUCAAGGUGAUGCUCUCCAUCGGAGGUGGCGGGUCUUAUGGCCUGAGUUCCACCGAAGACGCCAAGGACGUGGCGUCAUACCUCUGGCACAGUUUCUUGGGUGGUUCUGCUGCUCGCUACUCUCGACCCCUCGGGGAUGCGGUUCUGGAUGGCAUAGACUUCAACAUCGCCGGAGGGAGCACAGAACACUACGAUGAACUUGCCGCUUUCCUCAAGGCCUACAACGAGCAGGAGGCCGGAACGAAGAAAGUUCACUUGAGUGCUGCUCCGCAGUGUCCUUUCCCGGAUUACUGGCUUGGCAACGCACUCAGAACAGAUCUCUUCGACUUCGUGUGGGUGCAGUUCUUCAACAACCCUUCGUGCCAUUUCUCCCAGAACGCUAUCAAUCUUGCAAAUGCGUUCAACAAUUGGGUCAUGUCCAUCCCUGCGCAAAAGCUGUUCCUUGGGCUUCCUGCUGCUCCUGAGGCUGCUCCAAGUGGUGGCUACAUUCCACCCCAUGNNNNNNNNNNNNNNNNNNNNAUCUCAUAUCUAAAGUUCUUCCGAUCCUAAAGGAUUCCGACAAGUACGCAGGAAUCAUGCUGUGGACUAGAUACCACGACAGAAACUCCGGCUACAGUUCUCAAGUCAAGUCCCACGUGUGUCCAGCGCGUCGGUUCUCCAACAUCUUAUCUAUGCCGGUGAAGUCUUCCAAGUAAACCUGAACGGCGUAGAUGAUCGGUGGUCGAUAACUCCGAUCAUCAUGGGUCCCCCAUCGUAUCCGUGC
rnacentral:lncRNA from 1 species